rnacentral:tRNA from 1 species
GGCGAGGUAGCUCAGUUGGCAGAGCAUCGGACUCAUAAGCCGCAGGUCGUGGGUUCAAGUCCCACUCUAGCCA